GCUGGCGUGGCUCAAUUGGCAGAGCAGCAGUUUUGUAAACUGCAGGUUGCGGGUUCGAGUCCCGCCGCUAGCU
rnacentral:tRNA from 1 species